CAGAGAAUAGUUUAUAUUAAAAUAUUAAUUUUGGAGAUUAAUGAAAAAAUUUUUUUUUCUCUGA
rnacentral:tRNA from 1 species